GGGCCCGCACAAGCGGUGGAGCAUGUGGUUUAAUUCGAUGAUACGCGAGGAACCUUACCAGGGCUUAAAUGUAGUCUGACAGGGGUGGAAACACCCCCUCCUUCGGGCAGAUUACAAGGUGCUGCAUGGUUGUCGUCAGCUCGUGCCGUGAGGUGUCAGGUUAAGUCCUAUAACGAGCGCAACCCCUGCCGUUAGUUGCCAGCAUGUAAUGAUGGGAACUCUAACGGGACUGCCGGUGCAAACCGCGAGGAAGGUGGGGAUGACGUCAAAUCAUCACGGCCCUUACGUCCUGGGCUACACACGUGCUACAAUGGCCGGUACAGAGGGCAGCCACACCGCAAGGUGGAGCGAAUCCUUAAAAAGCCCUCUCAGUUCGGAUCGCAGUCUGCAACUCGACUGCGUGAAGCUGGAAUCGCUAGUAAUCGCGGAU
rnacentral:rRNA from 1 species